rnacentral:lncRNA from 1 species
UUGCAGAAACAAAUCUCUAUCAGUAGGCUCAUAGUUAUAAGGUGGUUUUCAGAAGUAAAAUCCACCUGAUGUGAAGAUCAACCAUUGAACAAAGACAAAUGGCUGGCAUAUAUAAAUCCCCAAAUUGGUGAAAGAAAUUGAGAUUGUCUAAAACUACAGCAUUAGGAUUAGUCCUUUUUUCUCCUGAGACACUCUUCAUUUCUACUUCUUGAAGGCAUUAAAAGAAUAGCAUCUUAUAUGUUCAGAAACAUGUUACUUAUUAAAAGCAUCAUGAUUAGUGAAAGUCCAGAACUGAGAGAAGGAUUGUCUCAUUGCUUUUCUUCCAGAAAAGAUCCAACAUUUUGAGUAUUCACAUGUUUUCAUGGCAUCUUAACUCAUCAGUCCUCAGUCUUUAUAGAAAGUAUUAGAAGCAUCCUAGCUCUAUAUCUGAAUUUUUCAUGAGAAACUUCAUCCAUACUUAACCAAAAUUAUUAUAAAAAAACAAGAUACCCUAGGGCAGAAAAUGAAAUACUGCUAGUGCAAAAGGGAAAAAACCAUUCUCAAGAUUCAAAAAUUAGGGAACAUAUCAGUAAUAGAAAGAUAAAGAACUAAAUGCUAGGCAAGAGAAAAGCCUCCAACUUCAUUCUUCACGAUUGUUAACAGCAUACAACUAACAGAAUGAUGCAAAAACUACUCUUACUAGAAAAAGAGAGAAUUUAGCAGAUAAGUUUUAUAACAUUAAUAGAUGGCAAACAUAAUAACUCUAAACUUGCAAUUUAGCUUGCUUAAGAAAGUGCAUCUUUGUCAAAGGCUAAAAGACAUCAUCUUCUGCAGUAGUUUUCUUUCACAAAAUAUUUUAAACUGCUCGGGUUAUAUCCUUCAUCAAUAAGCACCUUGAGUAUCGACGAAAACUACAUCUUAACUAUCUAUUCAAAAAUCAGCAUAAUACUUUCACACUGUUAACAUGUUGCACCGUCUUGGCAACAUGGCCAACAGAGUAAGAAUCCAGG